rnacentral:rRNA from 1 species
AUUGAACGCUGGCGGCAUGCCUUACACAUGCAAGUCGAACGGCAGCGGGGGAGAAGCUUGCUUUUCCUGCCGGCGAGUGGCGAACGGGUGAGUAAUACAUCGGAACGUGCCCUGUAGUGGGGGAUAACUAGUCGAAAGAUUAGCUAAUACCGCAUACGACCUGAGGGUGAAAGUGGGGGACCGCAAGGCCUCAUGCUAUUGGAGCGGCCGAUGGCUGAUUAGCUAGUUGGUGGGGUAAAGGCCUACCAAGGCGACGAUCAGUAGCUGGUCUGAGAGGACGAUCAGCCACACUGGGACUGAGACACGGCCCAGACUCCUACGGGAGGCAGAAGUGGGGAAUUUUGGACAAUGGGCGAAAGCCUGAUCCAGCAAUGCCGCGUGUGUGAAGAAGGCCUUCGGGUUGUAAAGCACUUUUGUCCGGAAAGAAAUGGCUCUGGUUAAUACCUGGGGUCGAUGACGGUACCGGAAGAAUAAGGACCGGCUAACUACGUGCCAGCCGCCGCAGUAA